rnacentral:rRNA from 1 species
GGCGGACCCUAAGGCGAGGCCCCAAAGGCGUAGCCGAUGGACAGCCGGUUGACAUUCCGGCCCCGUCAUGCAGUGUCGAAACCAUCAGGGACACCGAAACGAAGCGACGGCGGUUUUGUGGAUUGACCGUCUAAGCCGGUAGGCGCAAGCCGAGAGGUGAUGGCAAGGGAAGGCUUCGGCCGACUCGAGCGUCGUAGAGUCUGCGGGCAAGAAAAGCUGGUGGUGGAGCUGCACGAUGUCCGUACCGUAAACCGACACAGGUGGGUGAGGCGAGUAGCCUCAGGUGAACGAGUGAAACGUGGUCAAGGAACUCGGCAUAAUGAUCCCGUAACUUCGGAAGAAGGGAUGCCUUUGACUGUGAGGGGACUUGCUCCCCGAGCGGGCAGAGGCCGCAGAGAAUCGGCCCAAGCGACUGUUUAGCAAAAACACAGGUGCGUGCCAAGCCGCAUAAGGCGCCGUAUACGCACUGACGCCUGCCCGGUGCCGGAAGGUUAAGGGGAGAGGUUAGGGGGUAACCCCGAAGCUUUGAGCCGAAGCCCCGGUAAACGGCGGCCGUAACAAUAACGGUCCUAAGGUAGCGAAAUUCCUUGUCGGGUAAGUUCCGACCUGCACGAAUGGCGUAACGACUUGGGCACUGUCUCGACCACGUGCUCGGCGAAAUUGCAGUCUCGGUGAGGAUUCCGAGUCCCCGCGACAGGACAAAAAGACCCCAUGCACCUUUACUGCAGCUUGUCAUUGGACAUUGCACUUCACUGUGUAGCAUAGGUGGGAGUCGGUGAUGCCGGGGCGCUAGCCUCGGUGGAGACACCAGUGAAAUACCACCCUGUGUAGUGCGAUGCCCUCACCACGGAAGGCAAACCCUUUCUGGGACCGUGGCAGGCGGGCAGUUUGACUGGGGCGGUCGCCUCCGAAAGAGUAACGGAGGCGCGCGCAAGGUUGGCUCAGCGCGGUCGGUACUCGCGCUUAUAGAGUGUAACGCAGAAGCCAGCCUGACGGUGAGACCGACGGGUCGAACCGCCACGAAAGUGGGCCGUAGUGAUCCGGUAGCCCGGGGUGGAGCGGCUAUCGCGCAACGGAUAAAAGGUACGCUGGGGAUAACAGGCUUAUCGCGCCCGAGAGUUCACAUCGACGGCGCGGUUUGGCACCUCGAUGUCGGCUUAUCACAUCCUGGGGCUGGAGAAGGUCCCAAGGGUCCGGCUGUUCGCCGGUUAAAGUGGUACAUGAGCUGGGUUCAGAACGUCGUGAGACAGUUCGGUCUGUAUCCGUCGUGGGCGUUGGAGUGUUGAGGGGAGCGGACUCUAGUACGAGAGGACCGAGUCGGACGAUCCGCUCGUGUCCCGGCUGUCCUGCCAAGGGCACCGCCGGGUAGCGAUGAUCGGCUGAGAUAACCGCUGAAUGCAUCUAAGUGGGAAGCACGCCCCAAGAUGAACACCCCCGAGGCCAUGAGCCUCCUGAAGGGCCGGGGAAGACCACCCCGUCGAUAGGCCGCCCGUGGACGUCGAGCGAUCGACUCCGAGCGCAGCGGUCCUAAUCGCCCGUGCGGCUUGACUAC